rnacentral:misc_RNA from 1 species
UCCGAGUUGACCCCGGCAGUCUCCUACGAGUCCCCGGCAUAAUCCGCUGGCAACAUAGGACAAGGGUUGCGCUCGUUGCGGGACUUAACCCAACAUCUCACGACACGAGCUGUCGACAGCCAUGCAGCACCUGUCUCAAUGUUACCGAAGGCACCAAUCCAUCUCUGGAAAGUUCAUUGGAUGUCAAGGCCUGGUAAGGUUCUUCGCGUUGCUUCGAAUUAAACCACAUGCUCCACCGCUUGUGCGGGCCCCCGUCAAUUCAUUUGAGUUUUAACCUUGCGGCCGUACUCCCCAGGCGGAUGACUUAAUGCGUUAGCUGCGCCACCGAAAGCCUAAGGCCCCCGACAGCUAGUCAUCAUCGUUUACGGCGUGGACUAC